rnacentral:rRNA from 1 species
AUUGAACGCUGGCGGCAUGCCUUACACAUGCAAGUCGAACGGUAACGCGGGGCAACCUGGCGACGAGUGGCGAACGGGUGAGUAAUGCAUCGGAACGUGCCCAGUAGUGGGGGAUAACUGCUCGAAAGAGCAGCUAAUACCGCAUACGACCUGAGGGUGAAAGCGGGGGAUCGCAAGACCUCGCGCUAUUGGAGCGGCCGAUGUCAGAUUAGGUAGUUGGUGGGGUAAAGGCCCACCAAGCCAACGAUCUGUAGCUGGUCUGAGAGGACGACCAGCCACACUGGGACUGAGACACGGCCCAGACUCCUACGGGAGGCAGCAGUGGGGAAUUUUGGACAAUGGACGCAAGUCUGAUCCAGCCAUGCCGCGUGCGGGAAGAAGGCCUUCGGGUUGUAAACCGCUUUUGUCAGGGAAGAAACGCUCUGGGUUAAUACCUCGGGGUAAUGACGGUACCUGAAGAAUAAGCACCGGCUAACUACGUGCCAGCCGCCGCGGUAAUAC